rnacentral:rRNA from 1 species
AUGAACGCUGGCGGCGUGCCUAAUACAUGCAAGUCGAGCGAACAGACGAGGAGCUUGUUCCUCUGACGUUAGCGGCGGACGGGUGAGUAACACGUGGAUAACCUACCUAUAAGACUGGGAUAACUUCGGGAAACCGGAGCUAAUACCGGAUAAUAUAUUGAACCGCAUGGUUCAAUAGUGAAAGACGGUUUUGCUGUCACUUAUAGAUGGAUCCGCGCCGCAUUAGCUAGUUGGUAAGGUAACGGCUUACCAAGGCAACGAUGCGUAGCCGACCUGAGAGGGUGAUCGGCCACACUGGAACUGAGACACGGUCCAGACUCCUACGGGAGGCAGCAGUAGGGAAUCUUCCGCAAUGGGCGAAAGCUUGACGGAGCAACGCCGCGUGAGUGAUGAAGGUCUUCGGAUCGUAAAACUCUGUUAUUAGGGAAGAACAAAUGUGUAAGUAACUAUGCACGUCUUGACGGUACCUAAUCAGAAAGCCACGGCCAACUACGUG